GCAAAUACACGAGACCCACCCCCCUGACCUUAUCUUUCCGCAGACCCCCACCCCAAAUGACCCUCGAUCCUUCUUCUUCAUGAGGGCUUAACAAAAACCCUAAGCAAGAACUCCAUCUCCAAAGCAGCCUGAACGCCAAACGACCAGACCCCCAAGGUCUUCUUCUCGCUUACGCGCAAUAGCCAAGAACACAGCAACUUAACGUUACCAUCGCACACCCCCGUCGACGACCACCCUUCAGCUCACCAUCGUCACUGUACCUACUCGCAACCUCCCAGCGAUGCACCUCAGCCCUAGAAGUCAGUUGCCGAGCUCCACCCUAAUUCCGCCGUAACACAAUAACAACCCCGACCCUCACGUCGUUCUUUCUUCUCCACAUCCCAACCAGACCUGAACGACUCCCAUCAGCUGAACCCAAUGGCCAGUCUAGUGCUGCUGCUUCAUCUCCUCACCUCGUAAACGACCACCCAACAAUCACCAGGUCGUUGUUGUCCACAAAGUUUCUAGCGCGUCCCGAGUUUUUCGAUUAAUUAUCGACGAUCAAAGUUACUGGUUUUUGGUCGAAGCCGUUUGAGGUUUGUUGUGUCGAAGUCUCCGUUGCUGGCUCUAUCGUUGGGCUGGAGUUUCAAAGCAGUCCAAGCGUGCGGGUUUCGAAUUCAAUAUUAAGCUUGAUUGAAGGUACUUUGUUCUGAAUUUGACGAGGUUUCCGGUUCGUGGUUUCGAUUUUGCUUGCGAUUCUUGCUCGACUUUACUGUUGUUCUUUCCCUUGAAUUUGGAAGUUGAUAUCUGAAUCAGUUGGCCUAUUUUCUAACUUCAGAACUUGUUUUGGUCCUUAUUUGCUGUUAAGGUACGUUUUCUUCCUAGAUCCGGUGUAAUCAAUGUUUUAAUAUAAAUUGUAUCAUGAAUCUUUAGUGUUUUUAUGUGCCAUAUUGCUAAUAUUAUUAAUAUUUCUUCAUUCGUUUUUAUUUGAGCAUUGUAGCUGUAACCAUGAUAUUUGGAGUUGAGAUCAAAAUGUGUUUGUGUUUAUAUUGUGCUUAGUAUAAACUUUGGAAAAGCAAAAAUAGCAAUUGCUAGUUUGGACAAUUUGUUGACGUGUCAGUUGAUUUAAGUAUCUAUUAUUGUAUAUCUUUUAUAUAUGCACCCUUAAGAUCACUGUUCUUUUUGAUUUGAUCAUUUUACGCAUUGGUUUUGUUGAUUCAUUGUUUUUUUGUCCGAAUUCUCCAGUAUUAAAUUUUCAGCCAUUAUAUGUUCAUCUGCAUUUUGUUGUUAGCAUGGUUUCAACGACCUUUGGCAUGUGUAUUGGCUUGAACAAGGAAUUUCCAUAUUCGGAUCUGUGGCAUCUUAGGGUGCACAGUUUCAUAUUUCUAGAUUCAUAAUUGAAUGUAAAAAUUAAUACUUGAUAUAAUCAUAUGGAAGUUCAGUUAGUGCAAUAAAAGUGAGGUAAAGUACUUGAGGUAAUAUAAUGUCAUGUGGAUUUAGAGCAGUAGAUAUAACUUAUGAACACCUAGUUUGCUUUGGGCGCGAUUAAUAAAUCAUCGUGACCAUGGGUAAGGUUCCUGUGACAUAGUUACGAUACCUAAUUCUCAAAUCGGGUGUGCAUUUCAUAUGACCCGGUCCUAAUUUCCAACAAAGUUAAAUAGAACGUGCCGUGAAUCACGGGUGCAUUUCAUGUAGCGUGGCUUGUGAUAUAUUUUAAAUAACCUUGAAUUAAUUUUUUAAAUAAAUAAAAGCGGCUAAAAGGUUAAAAAGGGCACAAUAGGUUCUAAACAUGUGUUAAAAUCAGAUAAUAGGCCAAUAAUAAUAGUUGAGCGACCGUGCUAGAACCACGAAACUCGGGAAUGCCUAACACCUUCUCCCGGGUUAACAGAAUUCCUUACCUGGAUUUUUGGUUCGCGGACUGUUAAACAGAGUUAAGUUUUUCCUUGAUUCGGGAUUCAACCGGUGACUUCGGACACCAUAAAUUUCCCAAGUGGCGACUCUGAAUCUUUUAAUAAUAAUCCCGUUUCGAUUGUCCUUUAAUUGAAAAAACUCCUUUACGUCCUUCUGGGUAUAGUGAAAAAGAAGGUGUGACAACUCUGGCGACUCUACUGGGGAACGAACCCAGAAUCUCUGGUUCAGGUUCAAGAAUUCGAGCUUAGAAUAAUUGUUAUAGUUGGCUUUAUCCAUUAUCUGAUUCAGUUACAUGAUUUGGGCCUUAUGUGCUAAUUGAUCGCUUUUACCGAUUUGAUAUUCCGUGAACUGUAUAUAAACUGCUGUGAAAUCCCUCUUCUCUAUGAGUCUUCUAAAUCAUGAAGAAGUGUGCACUUCGUGUGACUUCUUUUCUGUUAGAGUCAUAUUCCAAAUUUAGAACGAGGUUCGGACAAGUUGCAAAGUCGGUGAAACUUUUGUAUUCCCGGUAUGCUGCCCCUCCCUCGGCUCGAGUUGUCCGCUCGGGUAAGCCAGGUCUAGAACAAUAAACUCAGGUCUUGAACCUAGAAUAACUUAGCCUUAUGCCGGAUCCCUAGUAGGAACGCUUGUUUGCAUCAUGUGCACUUGACUUAGGGGACUCAACACAGGGGUUGGGUCCGUCUAGGACAGGUAUACCCCAAAAAAUAAAAGACCAUUCUGAUGCAUCUUAUGUGCUACAUGUUGCAUUUAUUCAAGGGUAAAAGGGUCAUUUGGCGAACCAAUAAUAGCUGAGGGUAAAUGAAGAAAUGAAGAAAAAAACAAUGAAAAAAGAAAGUAAAAUAAAAAAGAAGAGUUUACAUGUUUCAUCUUUUUUCAAAAAAAAAAAGAAGAAAACAAAAAUAUUUUCUCUAAAUUAGUUGUUAUUUUAUUUCUCGCCCGUAUUUAAUUUGCCCGAACUACGCGAACAUGAUUCUCGUCUCUCGGGGAGGGAUACGUAGGCAACCCACAUAGGGUCCGGUCUUCCUAGUAAAUCUUAGGUUCUUGGCUUUGCAGGUUCUUACCCAAAUUUUGCACUUCUAACCACUUUUUUGCCAAAUAAGUCAUUUUGCAAAAAUAGCCUCAAUCAUGUCUUGCAUGUGUCUAGUAGGGAAUGUUAUUGUCUCACAUAGUGUUGGUUUAAGUUUUCUCAUAUAGGUGUGGAUCCACUUACCGGAGUUUGAGCAUGACAGAUACCCCAGGACCACCGCAUUCAGGAGUUGCUUAAGGAGA
rnacentral:lncRNA from 1 species